rnacentral:rRNA from 1 species
UACGGGGGGAGCAAGCGUUGUUCGGAUUUACUGGGCGUAAAGGGCGCGUAGGCGGCGUGGUAAGUCACUUGUGAAAUCUCCGAGCUUAACUCGGAACUGCCAAGUGAUACUGCUGUGCUAGAGUGCAGAAGGGGCAACCGGAAUUCUCGGUGUAGCGGUGAAAUGCGUAGAUAUCGAGAGGAACACCUGCGGCGAAGGCGGGUUGCUGGGCUGACACUGACGCUGAUGCGCGAAAGCUAGGGGAGCGAACGGG